rnacentral:rRNA from 1 species
GUGAACGCUGGCGGUAGGCCUAACACAUGCAGGUCGAACGGCAGCACAGUAAGAGCUUGCUCUUACGGGUGGCGAGUGGCGGACGGGUGAGGAAUACAUCGGAAUCUACUUUUUCGUGGGGGAUAACGUAGGGAAACUUACGCUAAUACCGCAUACGACCUACGGGUGAAAGCAGGGGAUCUUCGGACCUUGCGCGAUUGAAUGAGCCGAUGUCGGAUUAGCUAGUUGGCGGGGUAAAGGCCCACCAAGGCGACGAUCCGUAGCUGGUCUGAGAGGAUGAUCAGCCACACUGGAACUGAGACACGGUCCAGACUCCUACGGGAGGCAGCAGUGGGGAAUAUUGGACAAUGGGCGCAAGUCUGAUCCAGCCAUACCGCGUGGGUGAAGAAGGCCUUCGGGUUGUAAAGCCCUUUUGUUGGGAAAGAAAAGCAGCAGGUUAAUACCCCGCUGUUCUGACGGUACCCAAAGAAUAAGCACCGGCUAACUUCGUG